UACGUAGGGGGCAAGCGUUGUCCGGAUUUAUUGGGCGUAAAGAGCGUGUAGGCGGCCAGGUAGGUCUGCUGUGAAAACUGGAGGCUUAACCUCCAGACGUCGAUGGAAACCGUAUGGCUAGAGUCCGGAAGAGGAGAGUGGAAUUCCUGGUGUAGCGGUGAAAUGCGCAGAUAUCAGGAAGAACACCCGUGGCGAAGGCGGCUCUCUGGGACGGUACUGACGCUGAGACGCGAAAGCGUGGGGAGCGAACAGG
rnacentral:rRNA from 1 species